CUUCCUGAUUUCAUUUGUACUUGUAAUGGAAGCAGCUUAUGGCCAAGUGUUUCAGCCAGACCAGGUCAGUGUGUUGGAAGGAGAGCCAAUUAAUAUAAUGUGCCAGCAGAAUGCUACUAGCAAGGACACAAUGUUCUGGUACAAAAGGCAACCUGGAGGAAGGGUGGAAUUUCUUGCAAGUGGUUAUGAUGGUUCUGUAGAGGCUGGAACAUUCAUAAUGAUAUUAAACCCAAACAAGAGAUCCACCAACUUGAAAAAGACCCAAGCAGAGCCAGGAGAUGCUGCCACAUAUUACUGUGCAGUGAGGGACACUGUGAUACCAGCUGAUGCUACAGUAGUUCAGAAACUCAAAACUCUCACUACACAGAAGCACUGAAGCAUCUGUCUGCCAAAAAUGACCUCGUUGUGCAACUAGUCCUCACUGUAAAUGCUGUUUUAUAAGCAAUGCAUUUGUUUUUAUUAAAUGUUUCUAUUGCACUCA